rnacentral:rRNA from 1 species
AAGUCGUAACAAGGUUUCCGUAGGUGAACCUGCGGAAGGAUCAUUAGUGAAUAUUAGCGCAUCUACUUGUAGAGCGUGACCUCCACUUUCUAACUCUGUGCAUUUAUUGGCGGAAGGACUUGAGCAAUCGAGCUUCCUUCUGCGGCUCAUUUUAAAACACUAGUUAAAGUAUGUAACGAAAUAUCGAAACAAAAAAAACUUUCAACAACGGAUCUCUUGGCUUGCUCAUCGAUGAAGAACGCAGCGAAAUGUGAUAAGUAAUGUGAAUUGCAGAAUUCAGUGAAUCAUCGAAUCUUUGAACGCACCUUGCGCUCUCUGGUAUUCCGGAGAGCAUGUCUGUUCGAGUGUCAUGAACUCUUCAACCCACCAGUUUCUUGUAGACUGAAUGGUGUUUGGUUUCUGAGCGUUGCUGGUCUUCGGAUCUAGCUCGUUCGUAAUAUAUUAGCAUCUCUAAUUCGAACUCGGAUUGACUCAGUGUAAUAGACUAUUCGCUGAGGACACGCUCUUGUAGUGUGGCCGAAUGAGAUCUCAGUAGAAGCUUCCAACUACUUUAGUCAACUUUAGAUUAGACCUCAGAUCAGGCAGGAUUACCCGCUGAACUUAA